AUGUGUUCUAGAAUAGCAGCUCUCACCAGAUGGCAUGAUGAAGAGCGUACAAAAGAUGGUUUGAUCAGGCAUCCAGCUGAUUCUGUUCAAUGGAAGUAUUUUGAUGAGUUGCAUGAGGACUUUGCUAAGGACAUCCACCAAUUUAGGCUUGGAUAUGGAGCAGAUGGUUUUACUCCUUUCAGAUCCAAUAAUGUUAAUUAUAGUGUUUGGCCUGUUAUCUUGAUUCUUUAUAACUUCCCUUCUUGGAUGUGCAUGAAACAAUCAAUAUUUUUUCUCACAUUGUUGAUUCCUGGUAAACAUGCUCCUGGUAGUGAUAUGGAUAUUUAUCGAGAGCCGUUAGUUGAUGAUAUGGUAUAUAUGUUUCUUCACGGUGUCAGUACAUACAAUGCUUCAAAAGAAGAGUUCUUUAAUUUGAAGGCUUCCAUAUUAUGGACCAUUCAUGAUUUCCCGGGCCUAGGGUAUACAGCUGGUUGUACCACUUACGGUGAAGGAGCUUGUCCUGAAUGUCAUUCUGACACAUGUUCUCUUAGGCUGAAUUAUGGUAGAAAGACAUGCUACAUGGGGCAUCGCAUGUUCUUACAUGAAGACCACCCCUUUAGGUCCAAUACCAAUUAUUUUGAUGGCAGUGCUGAGCAUAGGCCGAAGCCAAUUCCUCUCUCUAGACCAGAAAUUGUUGCUCAAACAAAAGAUAUGCAUACAGUUUUUGGGAAGGAUCCUUCCAGGAAGAAGAAAACCAAGCAGAAGCGCAAGGAUGAUGAGCCGUUAAUAGUUUGGAAAAGGAAGCCUAUUUUUUCAGGCUGCCAUAUUGGGAGAGCUUGUCGCUGCGUCACAACUUAG
rnacentral:rRNA from 1 species